rnacentral:rRNA from 1 species
GACGAACGCUGGCGGCGUGCUUAACACAUGCAAGUCGAACGGAAAGGCCCUGCUUUUGUGGGGUGCUCGAGUGGCGAACGGGUGAGUAACACGUGAGUAACCUGCCCUUGCCUUUGGGAUAACUUCAGGAAACUGGGGCUAAUACCGGAUAGGAGCUCCUGCUGCAUGGUGGGGGUUGGAAAGUUUCGGCGGUUGGGGAUGGACUCGCGGCUUAUCAGCUUGUUGGUGGGGUAGUGGCUUACCAAGGCUUUGACGGGUAGCCGGCCUGAGAGGGUGACCGGCCAGAUUGGGACUGAGAUACGGCCCAGACUCCUACGGGAGGCAGCAGUGGGGAAUAUUGCACAAUGGGCGGAAGCCUGAUGCAGCAACGCCGCGUGCGGGAUGACGGCCUUCGGGUUGUAAACCGCUUUCGCCUGUGACGAAGCGUGAGUGACGGUAAUGGGUAAAGAAGCACCGGCUAACUACGUG